AUUUAUAUAGUUUAAAAAUAAAACAUUAUAUUUUCAUUAUAAAGAUAAAUUUUAUUUUAUAAAUA
rnacentral:tRNA from 1 species